AAAAAAAAAGUUUUUUUAAAUUGUCAGAUAGGAUGUGAUGUCCAGGUUUUAAAGGACAGGGUAACAAAACCUCCACCCUUUAUUUUGUAGAAACCUUUCCUACAGACUGGAGCCCAGAAUGGUUUAAGCUGAACUUGGUCCAAAUUGAUCCAGAGUAGGAGGAAAAAGAAAAGGAGAGAAAAAUUGCAAAAAUCCAGGCUAGUUUCAAUCAGGUUUGAAAUUCUGCUGUUGAGUCUCACAGGAGGGAGAGGAGAGGUUGAGGGAAUGCAUCUGGGAAGGGGAGGCUGUUCCCAGGGUGGUUUUGGGGUUUUGGUUUUGGGAUGGGCCCCGUCAUUAAAAGGGUUCAAAGGAUUCACCUUGGGCAGGGCUAGGCCCAGGAUGGACUCAGAGUCACGAGUUUCACACUUUUGUGAGGUUUAAUUUGGGGUUAAUUGUCCCAUUCCAGCUCCAGGUGAUGAAAUCCCAUCCUCCCAGACUGCUCUCCUCAAUUCUGUGUUGUCUGCACUUUUUGUAUAAAUUAUGCUUUUUGUACCCAAAGCUGCAAUGGUUUUUGGUUCUGGGGUUGUUUUAUGUGAUUGAACUGUGAGGAGAACUUGCUGAUAUUUUAUAUGGAAUUCAGAGUUAUGGAAUAAUGCAGAGCAGAAUGUGGAGCAUAAAAAGGCUAAAAUUGAAGGCAUCAUGGGGAGCUGUGUGUCCUGUAGGAUUUUGGGGACUAUGUGUGCUCCCAGAUUUGGGGAGCUGUGUGUGCUCUCAGAUUGGGGACUGUGUGUGCUGUGGAUUUUGGGGAACUGUGUGCUCCCAGAUUUUGGGGAGCCCUGUGUCCUGCAGGAUUUUGGGUACCAUGUGUGCUGCAGGAUUUUGGGGAGCUGUGUGUCCUGCAGGAUUUUGGGGAGCUGUGUGUUCUCCCAGAUUUUGGGGAGCUGUGUGUGCUGUGGAUUUUAGGGAACUGUGUGCUCCCAAAUUUUGGGGAGCUGUGUGUGGUGUGGAUUUUGGGGAGCUGUGUUUGCUGCAGGAUUUGGGGUACCGUGUGUCCUGCAGGAUUUUGGGGAGCCCUGUGUUCUCCCAGAUUGUGGGAGCUGUGUGUGCUGUGGAUUUUAGGGUACCAUGUGCUCUCUCAGAUUUUGGGGAGCCCUGUGUUCUCCCAGAUUUUGGGAGCUGUGUGUGCUGUGGAUUUUGGGGUACCAUGUGUUCUCUCAGAUUUUGGGGAGCCCUGUGUUCUCCCCGAUUUUGGGAGCUGCUCCUGCAGGCCCAGCACCAGCAGCAGCAGCCAAAGGCAGGACUCAUGAGGGAGCCCUGAGGCAUUUUGGGGUGCAGGCCCAGCUGCAGAUCGGGGCUUGCAGGGUUUGGGGAGCCCCUGGGGCUGCAGAUGGGAGAGAGGGACUGCUGGGAGCUGCAGAGGGGUGUUUUAUUCUGAGGGGUUUUUUAUUCUGUGUACUUGGUGCACUCCUCGUGCUCUGGGUUUCACCGUGGAUGUGCCAGUGAUGCCUGGAAAGGCUGAGCUGGAACAGAGACUGAGCAGAGCAAAAGGAAUAAAGUAGGGAUUUAGUGGAAGGAUUCACCUGAGCCAGGCUCGCACUCCUCGUGCUCUGGGAUUCACCGUGGAUGUGAUGCCUGGAAAGGCUGAGCUGGAACAGAGACUGAGCAGAGCAAAAGGAAUAAAAUAGGGAUUUAGUGGAAGGAUUCACCUGAGCCAGGCUGGGGUUACACCCAAAUCAAAGCCAAGAUGGGUCCUGGUCACGAGUUUUACAUUUUGGAAGUUCUGGUUCGUUACAUAUUUGGGUUAAUUAUCCAACCAGAGACCCAGGUUAUGGAGUCCCAGCCCCCUGGCUUGCCCCCUUUCCCUCACCAUCGUUUCUGCUUUUUGGCUGCUUGGUUCUCUGUCUAGGAAGGAAUUGUUUUAACUCCCCUGCGGAGAGAACUUACCAACACCCAACGUGAAGUUUCAGAGUUACACAGCGAGCAGCAGAGAUUCUGAAAAGUAGAAAAGCUGAAAGCCGAGGCAUGAGCAGCCCAAAUCUCAGCCAAGGAGCAGGGGGAGAGCCCGGGGGACCCAGCUCUGUGCAGGAAGGGUCGGGAUGCACCGCUCAGCUCGGGGGCUCUGGGAGAGCCCCAGGCCGGGCCGGAGCAGCUGGGACAGUGGGAGGUGUCCCCGGGGGGCUCCGGGGGCCCUUCCCACUGAUUGGGGUGGGGGAGGUGUCAGGAGCAGGGAAUCCUGCUGUGCCUGCCCAGGGCUGGCUUAGGGUGCUUUUGGGGUCACCCUGUGCAAAUCCCCCUCACUGCCAAGCCCAGGCAAUCUGAAAGUGUCCCUGCAAAAGCUGAUCGGAUUUUUCAGUUUUUUUCUUGUUUAAUGUUAAUUUUUUGUUUGUGCUGUGCUGUUUGGAGAUGAUUUGCAAUUCCAGGAGAGAUGAAAUCACCAUCCACUCAAUAUUGCAGCAGAGCUUUUUGUCUGGCAUCUCCCUCUUCGCUCCCUGCUGGAUUAUUCUUCCCUGCUCCAGAUUUGUUUCCUGCCAUUCCCACCCCCAAACUUGCAGCAUCCCCUCUAAACCCUGCUCCAGUGCAGUCCCAGGGAUUCAUUUCCUGACAUCUGAGGAGUUCAGGGAAGGGGGGAUGGAUCCUGAGAGGAGCACUUGGGGGUGGAGGGUGUUUGCUCCCAGCUGUGCUCACGCUGUUCCAGGAUAUCUUUGGAGCUUUUCAAGAGGAAACAACCCCCAGAUGAAAAAGAAAAGGCUUUUAGUUCCUUCUAAACCAGGUUUUUUUUUCUCUCUCAAAUAAAAUGGGCGAUGACUCAAGCACCCAUAAAAGUGUCUGGCAGAAUUGUGCAGCUCUGAAGUUCUGCAGUGCAUUGCCUGUAAAUGUCAUUUUUGUGGGAGUCUCUGCAAGUGGACUCGGGUUCUUUGAGGCAGGGCAGAGCCUCUGAGAUGCACUUUGCAGCACUGGCUGAAGGAUUAUUUAUAUAUAUAUUAUAUUAUAUUCUAAUAUAGAUAGUAUUUUAUAUAUAUAUAUAUAUUAUAUAUUCCAGGAAAGGAAUCCUGCACGAGGCUUGGGUUAUCUGCUCACCACAGCACAGAAGCUGUUGGGUAACUCUGAGUGCCAAGAACUUUCUGUUCUUUGCUUUUCAUUCUUCUCUUGACUUUCUUUUUUUUUUUUUUUUUUUUGGGGGGGGGGGGGGGGGGGGGGGGGGGGGGGGGGGGGGGGGGGGGGGGGGGGGGGGGGGGGGUCUGCAGCAGAAUGACCACAGAUGAGUCACGGGGCUGCCUGAACAUGUAAAGCAUUUUGUGAUACAUUUUUGGGUGUCUCACCCCACUCUGGAGACAAGGGAGCUGCUGAGACAGUGAUUCCUGCUUGUGUCAGCCCCGUGAAAAAUCCAACCAAAAACUUGUUUGCAGCUGAAAUUCAGAUGGUGAUGCUCUGGCUGAUUCAUCAAACGAUUUGGGGUGGGAUUUUCAGAUUCUCUUGCUUGGGUUACUUGAGGAAAAGUGAGUAGGUGUGUGCAGACCUGUGGAGCUUCCUGGCCAGAGCCCAGCUCAGACAAAGCUCUCCUUGUUCUCUGGGGCCUCAGAGCUGCUUUUUCUCCUCCUUGUUUGUUCUUUGUGGAGCUGCUUUUUCUCCUCUUUGUUUGUUCUUUGUGUCCUGCCCUCUGUUGUUGGUGUGCAGCAGCAGGGAAUUAAUUCAAGGCACACUUUGCUCCUGGGGCUGGGCAGCAGGAUGGGCUUCAGGUGCUCCCCCAGCAGGGAGGGAAAUCCACAACCCUUGGAAACAUCGGGAGUUUUGGGUUUUUAUCCAGCAGGGGGAAGGUGUUGGGGGUUGUAUCAGCCACAGAAUCCUGGAAUGGUUUGGGUGGGAAGGACCCCAGAGCCCCCCCAGUGCCACCACAGACGCCUCCCACUGUCCCUGCUCCAGCCUGGCCUUGGGUGUGGGGUUUUUGGGUGGGGUCAUGAAAUGGUUUGGGGUUUUUGGGUGGGGUCAUGGAGAGGUUUGGGAUUUUUUGGGUGGGAUCAUGUAAAGGACCCCAGAGCCCCCCCAGUGCCCCCCUGCCAUGGCAGGGACCCCUCCCAUUGUUCCUGCUCCAACCUGGCCUUGGGUUUGGGUUUUUUGGGUGGGAUCAUAGAGAGUUUGGGGUUUUUUUGGGUGGGAUCAUGGAAUGUUUUGGGUUUUUUUAGGUGGGAUCAUGGAGCGUUUGGGAUUUUUGGAUGGGAUCGUGGAUGGUUUGGGAUUUUUGGGUGGCAUCAUGGAGCAGUUUGGUUUUUUGGGUGGAAUCAUGGAGAGUUUAGGGGUUUUUGGGUGGGAUGAUGGAAUGGUUUGGGUUUUUUUGGGUAGGAUCAUGGAAUGGUUUGGGAUGGGUGGGAUCAUGGAAUGGUUUGGGAUUUUUAGGUGGCAUCAUGGAGCAGUUUGGUUUUUUGGGUGGAAUCAUGGAGAGUUUAGGGGUUUUUGGGUGGGAUGAUGGAAUGGUUUGGGUUUUUUUGGGUAGGAUCAUGGAAUGGUUUGGGAUGGGUGGGAUCAUGGAAUGGUUUGGGAUUUUUAGGUGGCAUCAUGGAGCAGUUUGGUUUUUUGGGUGGAAUCAUGGAGAGUUUAGGGGUUUUUGGGUGGGAUGAUGUAAAGGACCCCAGAGCCCCCCCAGUGCCCCCCUGCCAUGGCAGGGACCCCUCCCAUUGUUCCUGCUCCAACCUGGCCUUGGGUUUGGGUUUUUGGGUGGGAUCAUGGAGCAGUUUGGGUUUUUUGGGUGGGAUCAUGGAAUGGUUUGGGUUUUAUUUGGUGGAUCAUGGAAUGGUUUGAGUUGGGUGGGAUCAUAGAGGGGUUUGGGAUUUUUGGGUGGGAUCAUGGAAUGAUUUGAGUUUUUGGGUAGGAAAUGACCCCAAAUCCCCCCCAGUGCCCCCCCUGCCAUGGCAGGGACACUUCCACUGUCCCAGGCUGCUCCAAGCCCUGUCCAGCAACCUUGGACAUCCCAGGGAUCCAGGAGCAGCCAAAGCUUCUCAGGCAAUUCCAGCCCAGCCAGGAAUUCCUUCCCAAAUCUCCAUUUUUUUCCCAAUCUGAAACCAUUCCCUGUGUCCUGCCCCUCCAUCCCUUAUCCCAG
rnacentral:lncRNA from 12 species